GUAGGGAAUCUUCCACAAUGGACGCAAGUCUGAUGGAGCAACGCCGCGUGAGUGAAGAAGGGUUUCGGCUCGUAAAGCUCUGUUGUUGGUGAAGAAGGACAGGGGUAGUAACUGACCUUUGUUUGACGGUAAUCAAUUAGAAAGUCACGGCUAACUACGUGCCAGCAGCCGCGGUAAUACGUAGGUGGCAAGCGUUGUCCGGAUUUAUUGGGCGUAAAGCGAGUGCAGGCGGCUCGAUAAGUCUGAUGUGAAAGCCUUCGGCUCAACCGGAGAAUUGCAUCAGAAACUGUCGAGCUUGAGUACAGAAGAGGAGAGUGGAACUCCAUGUGUAGCGGUGAAAUGCGUAGAUAUAUGGAAGAACACCGGUGGCGAAGGCGGCUCUCUGGUCUGUUACUGACGCUGAGGCUCGAAAGCAUGGGUAGCGAACAGGAUUAGAUACCCUAGUAGUCC
rnacentral:rRNA from 1 species